UGGAAUCCAGGCUAGAAAAUUGAUUUUCAGGCAGAUUAAAUUCAAGAUGAGAAAAUUGUCACACCCCAACCAAUGGCGGAAUCAUCGGAGUGGAACAAAAAAGAUUGCUCAUUACACAUAACACUAUUGGCGACAAUAAUUAAUUCAAAACCAAUCUACUACUUCUAAUAAAGCAAAACAAUCUUAGGCCACAUGUCAUCUUCUUAUCCAUGUGGCUGACACGACACGUGGCAAUUGAUUGUUUCCCCAAUUUUUCGUUUGAGAGGCAAUUAUACUUCCUCCUUGGCUCUUUUUGAAACUGCCUGAAUUUCUUCAAUUUGGAAACCUCAUAACUUAUCUCAGUCAAUUGAAAUCAUUCUCCAAUUUAGCAUCUUUUCUUUAGUAAAAUCAUUCUCCAGUUUGGCAAAUUGAUUUCUCUUGGUAUACCAAUUCCAAAUUGAAAACCUUUACCCAUCAAUCAAGUCUCUGUUCCAAUAGAACCCUGGAUUUCUGAGGACUUCACAAUAGCUAGCUGUUGAAUUCUAAGGAAGACGAAGACGACUACAAUAAAUAUAGGUUUAGAUCUUUGCUCUGGUGGCUAUCUAGGGUUUCAGUGGCGGCCGAUGACUAUGGAUUACUUCCUUCGAGGGUAAGAAAACCCUUUUACUAUUGCUAUGAACAGGUCUUGGGUGUUAGUGUUUCAAUCUCGGCGCCGCUUAUCGUGUACGACACUGCGUCUAUUUCUCAGGCGAUGUAAUCAUUCACGGCGUUGGCGAGCAACAUCACGACUUCCUCCGGCGAUGUAAUCCUUCACGGUAUUGGCGAACGACGUCAUGCCUGAUCAUCUGUUUUCAGUUAAGAGGCGUUCUCCAAUUUAAUGUCGUUGGAUCUAACCGGUGGUGAUCGAGGGCCUGCGUUUAGGGAUCCUUACGGUGUCUGUUUGAAGUCAAAGAGGAGAGAUAUUGGCCCGUAUAAGGAUCUUUUUGCUAUUGAAGCUGGUUCUAUUGAUUUAAAAAGAAAAUGAAUGCAUCCCUCUUGAUCUGUAGACUCAAGCUCCUCCUUGAGAAGCUGGCCUCCGUCAACUUAGAGGGUUUGACACAUCAGCAAAAGCUCGCAUUUUGGAUAAACACUUGCAAUAUUUGCAUGAUGAAUGUAAUAUGACAGGCAUAUUUAGAGCAUGGAAUACCCGAGAGUCCGGAAAUAAUGCCAACACUAAUGCAAAAGGCAACAAUAAAUGCAGGCGGGUAUUUGCUAAACGCGAUAUCAAUUGACCAUUUUAUCUUGAGGCUUCCUAAUCGCUUAAAACUUUCAUGUCUACAAUCUCCGAAACAAACUGAAAUUCGUGGUAAAUUUGGCUUGGAGUGGUCCGAACUGUUGGUCAUGUUUGCUUUAUGCAAUGGCGGCAGCUGGUCUUCUGCGGUGAGAGUUUACACGUCAGCACAAGUGGAAAGCGAGUUAGCAAUAGCAAAGAGAGAUUACCUGAAAGGGUACCCGAGAAAAUGCAAAGUUUAGUGAGUAAAAGAUUACGCAAUGGCUGUUGGGCUUGCUAAUUGUUGAAUGGGCUGGAUUAAAGAUGUUGUGGUUUUGUUGAUAAAGGACUGGUCAAAGCUGGGUUGGACUAAAUUUGUCAACACAUUUAGGUUGGACUAAAUAAAUGAACCUCAGCCGUGAGUCUAUUGUAAUUUAAUAUUGUUUGUUAUUGAGAGUUUGACAUUAACAAUUAGGAAGCGAAUUUGGGUUUUGAGAGAUAUUCAGAGUGAACAUGGUGAGUUAGAGGCGAAGUUAUUCGAAGAGAGAGCAGAGCCACCGUAUGCAAAGAUGUGGAUAUAUUAUUCAGAUAACUACAACUUGCAUCGUGAGAUUAGCAUUUACGAUUUAUCUCAUCAUUAUGUUUACAUUGCGUACUAAUUUUUAGCCUUUGAAUAGCACAAGCAAAUCAUACAAGUUGUGGCGAUAUCCCGGUUCAACCUUUUUCUUCUCCCUUUUCUCUCAAUCUAUCUAUCUACGAUUCAUCCUAUAGUCUGAUUUAGAUCCUAUGAAUAUCGUGAUUUUUCACAAACACUUAAUGUAAGCGAUUAUUCAACCCUAAAUCAUAACCAGAUGAACUCGAUCAGGUAUGUUUAGCGCCUCUCUCAGUCAUGAAGGGUUUUUGUAUAAAGACGUUUAUUUAUUCGUAUGAUUUUCAUCUCUGAUCUGUAUUUGGCAUUUCCUUAUUUUGUUAUUUCCUUUGAUU